UACGUAGGGACCAAGCGUUGUUCGGAAUUACUGGGCGUAAAGGGCGCGUAGGCGGUCCGCUAAGUUGGAUGUGAAAACUCUGGGCUUAACCCAGAGCCUGCAUUCAAAACUGACGGGCUAGAGUUCUGGAGGGGGUAGCGGAAUUCCUGGUGUAGCGGUGAAAUGCGUAGAUAUCAGGAGGAACACCGGUGGCGAAGGCGGCUACCUGGACAGAAACUGACGCUGAGGCGCGAAAGCUAGGGGAGCAAACAGG
rnacentral:rRNA from 1 species